GGGUUUUGAUCUCUCCACUGACAUCUGGGUGUCCUGCAAAGGCUGCAGAAGCACUGAACACCCGUAUCCAGCAGGUGUUUCCAUGGCAACGCCGUGUAAAGCCAUCCUUUCCCUCUGACAUGGGAGAAAAUGUUGAAUGGCUGAACAGAAUUGGCUUGGGAAAACCUGGGACUUCGACUAAAAAUAG